UGGGUUGCACCCGCACAGCGCGGAGUGCACAUCUGCCCCAUGCGCGCACCCUUCUUUUUUUUUUUCUUCCUAAUUUUAAAAUCUCCUAAUAAUCAUUAUUAUUAUUAUUAUUAUUAUUGUUAUUAUUAUUAUUAUUUUUAACUUGGGUGCUGUUCCAACGGUCUGGCGGUGCAGGAAACUUCCCCGCUGUUUCCUAACUCCUGGAACCACAGAAAUCAUUCAGCACUGACAUUCCCGGAGCCCGGCAGAUCCAAUCUCAUUAAGGCGGAUAACGCCGCCGCUGUUUGUUGUGACACUGUUUGUGUGAGUGACGAGCGAAGGGUUAACUCCAGGGAAUUGGGAAUACUGCCUGGCUGCUAAUAACACGUGAGUCACCGCCGGAAUAACACAUGGGUGCAGGGAGAGACACAGCACCCAACUGCACAGCAGCCCUCUGCCUUCAGGGUCGGGGUUUGCCGCCUGCAACGACCCCAAAUCCGGGCAGGGGGAGGGGGUCAGCUGCUGGGGUCGAGCCCCGCAGCACGGAAUUACCACACCCCCGAACCCAUCAGCUCCAUCCCCGCACCCCGACGGGAUGGGGGUCACAGGGAUGGGGGACGGGGAGGGGACAGAGACCUGCACGCAUCGCUCCCACCUCCUGGAAACCACGCGGAGAGGAGCAGCCCUGCGCUCCAGCCCGGUCAGCAGAGGAAUCUGCACACGCAGACAGGAUCGCUGCAAUCGCUGGUGGCUGAGGAUGAUUCCGACACGAGGAGGAUCCCUCCGUCCUCGCCUCGCCGGGUUUUGCACCGUGUGGAUAUUGCGAGGCCGCCUAUGGCUGCACCUGCCCCUAUAUACAUUGCUAUACCUGCCCCUAUAUAUUGCUAUACCUGCCCCUAUACAUUGCUAUACCUGCCCCUAUACAUUGCUAUACCUGCCCCAUAUACAAUGCUAUACCUGCCCCACACAUAUCCCUGUACCUGCCCCUAUAUAUACUGCUGUGCCUGCCCCAUGUGCUGCUGCACCUGCCCUGCACGUGCAUUGGGACGGAGGGUCGGGUCGGCUGCUGUGCCCAGAAGGUCGCGUGGAAAACAUUCCUUUGCAAGCAAGGAUGGGUUAGAAUGUAAAAGAUUUAUUAAUUUAAUCCGAAGCAUUAAAAGGUCAUGUAUUAAUCAAAGAGAUGCUUAAAACUGUCAAAGUCCUUUGUCAGGUUUGAAGUGCAUCUCUAUAGUUAUCAUAAAAUAUAUAUAGAUAUCAGUCUGGCACGGAGCCCUCGCUGGGCUGGGAGUGGAG
ensembl:lncRNA